GACGGGGAGCACCACAACGGGUGGAGCUUGCGGUUUAAUUGGAUUCAACGCCGGAAAUCUUACCGGGACCGACAGCAAUAUGAAGGCCAGGCUGAAGACUUUGCCGGAUUAGCUGAGAGGUGGUGCAUGGCCGUCGUCAGUUCGUACUGUGAAGCAUCCUGUUAAGUCAGGCAACGAGCGAGACCCACGCCCACAGUUGCCAGCGUACUCUCUGGAGUGACGGGUACACUGUGGGACCGCCGCUGCUAAAGCGGAGGAAGGAAUGGGCAACGGUAGGUCAGUAUGCCCCGAAUAUCCCGGGCUACACGCGAGCUACAAUGGUUGGUACAAUGGGUAUCUACCCGAAAGGGGACGGGAAUCUCCUAAAACCAAUCUUAGUUCGGAUUGAGGGCUGCAACUCGCCCUCAUGAAGCUGGAAUCCGUAGUAAUCGCGUUUCAACAGAACGCGGUGAAUACGUCCCUGCUCCUU
rnacentral:rRNA from 1 species